ensembl:lncRNA
CUUGCCAUGGGAGCGGAUGGUGCAGUAGGCAGCACAUACAACUAUAUGGGAAGUACUAUGAACAGACUUCUUUUUGCCUUUGACAAAGGAGACCUGGAACAGGCCAGGGAUUUACAGGUAUAACUGCUGUUCAGUUUACUCUCCAAACUAAUUUAGAUUUUUAUUUACACAGCAUAUGUACAAAAUGUGUAUGUGCACACUGUGUAUAAUAUACAUGUAUUAUGGGUAUGGUAUUACUGGUGGGCCUCUGAAAAUAAGAAAUAUACAUUGAAUGACAUUUGUAAAUUGUAUUUUAAUCCAGAGUCAUUUCUUUUCUAUAGUUUAAGAUGCAGGCGAUAAUUCUGUUUGCAAUAAAGGAAGGGUUCAAUCUAGCUAUGAACAAGCAGAUAAUGUGUGAGCUCU